GAUAAACGCUGGCGGCGUGCAUAACACAUGCAAGUCGAACGAUGAAACUUGUUUGAUUUCUUCGGAAUGAUUUUAAGUGGAUUAGUGGCGAACGGGUGAGUAACACGUGAGUAACCUGCCUUACACAAGGGGAUAGCCUUUGGAAACGAAGAAUAAUACCCUAUAACGUCAAAAUAUCGCAUGAUAGAAUGACCAAAGAUUUAUCGGUGUAAGAUGGACUUGCGUCUGAUUAGCUAGUUGGUGAGAUAAAAGCCCACCAAGGCAACGAUCAGUAGCCGGCUUGAGAGAGUGUACGGCCACAUUGGGACUGAGACACGGCCCAAACUCCUACGGGAGGCAGCAGUGGGGAAUUUUGCACAAUGGGGGAAACCCUGAUGCAGCGACGCCGCGUGAUUUAGAAGGCCUUCGGGUUGUAAAAAUCUUUUUUAUGGGAUGAAAAUGACAGUACCAUAAGAAUAAGGUCCGGCUAAAUACGUGCCAGCAGCCGCGGUAAUACGUAUGGACCGAGCGUUGUCCGGAAUCAUUGGGCGUAAAGGGUACGUAGGCGGCCUAGUAAGUUAGAAGUGAAAUAAUAUAGCUCAACUAUAUAAAGCUUUUAAAACUGUUAGGCUUGAGAGAUGAAAGGGAAAGUGGAAUUCCUAGUGUAGCGGUGAAAUGCGCAGAUAUUAGGAAGAAUACCAGUGGCGAAGGCGACUUUCUGGUCAUCCUCUGACGCUGAGGUACGAAAGCGUGGGUAGCAAACAGG
rnacentral:rRNA from 1 species